rnacentral:rRNA from 1 species
UUACGGGUGAAGAUAAGACGGAUUAGCGGCGACGGGUGAGUAACACGUGAGUAACCUGCCUUUUACACAGGGAUAGCCUCGGGAAACCGGGAUUAAAACCUGAUGAAACUAUCAAAUCACAUGAUUAAGAAAGUUAAAACUCCGGUGGUAAAAGAUGGACUCGCGUCCCAUUAGCUAGUUGGUGAAGGUAACGGCCCACCAAGGCAACGAUGGGUAGCCGGCCUGAGAGGGUGAACGGCCACAUUGGAACUGAGAAACGGUCCAAACUCCUACGGGAGGCAGCAGCU